rnacentral:rRNA from 1 species
CGUGCCUAUACAUGCAGUCGAGCGACGAUGAAGAAGCUGCUUCUUCUAUUUAUCGCGGACGGUGAGAACACGUGGGCAACCUACCUAGUAGAUUGGGAUAACUCCGGGAAACCGGGGCUAAUACCGAAUAAUCCAUUUGUCACAUGGCAAAAUGCUGAAAGGCGGUUUCGGCUGUCACUACUAGAUGAGCCCGCUGUGCAUUAGCUAGUUGGUGGGGUAAUGGCCUACCAAGGCAACGAUGCAUAGCCGACCUGAGAGGGUGAUCGGCCACAUUGGGACUGAGACACGGCCCAAACUCCUCCGGGAGGCAGCAGUAGGGAAUCUUCCACAAUGGACGAAAGUCUGAUGGAGCAACGCCGCGUGAGUGAUGAAGGUUUUCGGAUCGUAAAACUCUGUUGUAAGGGAAGAACAAGUACGUUAGUAACUGAACGUACCUUGACGGUACCUUAUUAGAAAGCCACGGCUAACUACGUGCCAGCAGCCGCGGUAAUACGUAGGUGGCAAGCGUUGUCCGGAUUUAUUGGGCGUAAAGCGCGCGCAGGUGGUUUCUUAAGUCUGAUGUGAAAGCCCACGGCUCAACCGUGGAGGGUCAUUGGAAACUGGGAGACUUGAGUGCAGAAGAGGAAAGUGGAAUUCCAAGUGUAGCGGUGAAAUGCGUAGAGAUUUGGAGGAACACCAGUGGCGAAGGCGACUUUCUGGUCUGUAACUGACACUGAGGCGCGAAAGCGUGGGGAGCAAACAGGAUUAGAUACCCUGGUAGUCCACGCCGUAAACGAUGAGUGCUAAGUGUU